rnacentral:rRNA from 1 species
AGCUUUAAGACAAAGAUUUAAAGUUAGACCUGCCCAGUGUAAAAUUUACCUAUAAAUGGCCGCGGUACACUGACCGUGCUAAGGUAGCGCAAUAAAUUGGUUUUUAAUUGGAGCCACGUAUGAAUGGAGUUACGGAGUUUUUCUGUCUCUUAACUAUUAUAUUGAACUUACUAUGUAGGUGAAAAAGCCUAUAGUAUGAAAAAAGACGAGAAGACCCUUAGAGUUUUUUUUUGAAGCAGUUUGGUUGGGGCAACAUGGGAACAAAUUUCCACAAAUCGAAUAUAUUAGAGGUGAAUAAACUACCUUAGGGAUAACAGCAUAAUUUAAUAGAUAAGUUUGUGACCUCGAUGUUGGACUGGGAAACUAGGAGGUUAGUCGCCUUCUGGGUAAGUUCUGUUCGAACUGUUAAUUCCC